UUAUUUUUCUGGUUUUUAUUUAUAUUUUUUUAUUAUUUUAAUUCAAGAAAUACAGUAAAAUAGAUAAUAAAUAGAGAAAAAUAUCAAAAUAUAUUCGAAAAAUCACGAAAAUUAUCCCAUUUGGCUCCUGCUGUAGUUACAUGAAUUUAUGAAAUUUUUAUUUUAUUUUUAUGAUUUUUAAUUACAUUUUUUUAUUAUUUUAAUUCAAAAAAUAGAUAAUAAUUAGAGAAUAUUAAUUCGGGUAUGAGGUUUGAAGAGUGGAAAGGUACUGUGGAUAGUUCUUUUACGAAAUAGUAAUUAUUAUUUAUAUUAUUCGGGUACUUUUAAUAUUUAAUUUCUAUUUAUUCAUUAUUUUAACUAAUAUAUUCGUUAAAAUAGUGAAAAAAACACCAAAGCUCGUUACUACACCGAAAAA